rnacentral:lncRNA from 1 species
UUUGAAUUCAAAUAUAUAUAUAUAGGCUGGGGCUACUAUACUCAUAUGAGUAUAGAGCCCUUUGUACUCAUAAAUUUUCGACUGUUCAGAUAAAAAAAUAUACGGUUAGGAUGAAAAUGGUUAUGGUUAGAUUGAUAGUGGGCCUCCUAGGGUUGAGUGAGUGGUUGGUUGAAUAGUAUAAUCCAACAGAUGAAAAUGAUUAAAGGGUAGAUCUAACGGCCAAAACUUUAUGAGUACAAUAGGCUCUAUACUCAUAAAAGUAUAGUAGCCGGACUCUAUAUAUAUAUAUAUAUAUAUAUAUANNNNNNNNNNUAUAUAUAUAUAUAUAUAUAUAUAUAUAUAUAUAUAGAAUUAGGCUGGAAUAUUAUUAAUAGUAAAACGCUCUUUUUGAUAUCAAGUUUUUAAUCCUUGGAUGAAAAAUUGUAGGAUCAGGAUGAUAUUAGUCGGUUAGAGUUGAGUGGUCCCCCUAGGGUUGAGUGGUCCCCACUGGGUUAUAAUAUUUAAUCCAAUGGUUAGAAAUAAUAAAAAGAGUUGAUCCAAAGGCUAAAAAACUGAUAGCAAUAAUAAAAUUUUGCUACUAAUAGUAGCCCAGUCCAACUAUAUAUAAAUAUAUAUAUAUAUAUAUACACACACACACACACACACACGAAGAAAUCAUACAUUGUAAAUGCUCCA